UUUAAUAUGAACCUACGUUGUCCGCUAGAAGUACUAGUGGACUGGCUUAAUGAAAUUUUUAGACAAAAAUGUCCCCAAAUCUUACUAGCAGAUGCAUAUCCAUUGAAAAAACGAAUUGGGAAAAAACACAGCAGAACCGAAGUCGAUUUCUGCUCUUCUCAUCAUCUCUAAAAUCUAGCGUUGCUGCAAUUUUUCCCAAUUUCUCAUAAACCCUAGUUUGCAAUUUAGUGCAGAUCGGUAGCAUAUAGCAUCUACAGAAUUUAAUCGAUUGCUCUGUAAAUCGGUUGUAAAUUGGGGAAAUUGUUCGUUGUUCGUCCAUGACUAACAGUUGAAGAAAUUGGUUUAUAUCCGGAGAAAAAAGAAAGGGAGAGAUUAUGGCGUUUGAUAUAAGUCGGUGGCGGAGGCAACAUCUAGGGAAGUUAGAGCUCUGUUCAGCACUACCGUCUUUAGAUACAUAUAUGCAAGACCAAAUACCAAGCCAAAGUUCAAGGAGCUGAUAAUCAUCAAGUCAAAUACAAGUUUAUUUCUUUAUAUAGUACCUCUUCUGUCUAAUCAUGGUAUUAUAUUGGACAAAUUCUCUCUCCUUUUUAUGUGAAUUAUUGGGUUGAUUUGGAUCUGGGUUAAGAAUUUUUGCUCACCUUUCUCAAUAAACUACGAGAGCCUUUUUGAUUUUGAUUUUUUUAAUUAAAAAAAUCAUAUAUACAAGUGGGUGAUGAAUGAUGAUAAGAAUGUUAAUGGAUUUUUUUUUCUAUUUUAAAUUUCAUGUUUUUACCCAUGUGUGUGUCCGCUUAUGUGCCUAAAUUCUUUACCCAUGUGUGUGCGCUUAUUUUGAAUUUGGAAUCUCUUUUAUGAAAUUGAGUAGUUGUAUAUGCUAUAGAUCG
rnacentral:lncRNA from 1 species